GACUUUAAAAAUCGUGAGGGUUCAAGUCCCUCUAUCCCCAAAAAAGGACC
rnacentral:tRNA from 1 species